CAGGAUCCCCAUAGUAAUGGCGAAUGAACAGGGAUGAGCUCAGCAUGGAAAUUGGGGCCUGUGGCUUUGACUUGUAAUCUUGUGAGGCAUUGCCAACAGAGGCGCAGAUGUAAGUCUCUUGGAAAAGAGCAUCAAUGAGGGUGAGAGUCCUGCUUGUCAUUUGCAGCCCCCCUGUGCACGGUGUGCCUUCUAAGAGUCACGUUCCUCGGGAUUGGAGCGCAAAGUGGGUGGUAACUUUCAUCUGAAGCUAAACAAUGGUUUGGGACCGAUAGGAAACAAGUACCAUGAGGGAAAGGUGAAAAGGACUUUGGAAAGAGAGUUAAAAGUGCCUGAAAUUGCUGAAGGGGAAGCGAAUGGAACCAGUGGUGCUGGGUGAGAUUGUCACAUGCUCCAGGGAUUGGUUGCUGCAUCAGCGCAAGCGAUCUGGCAAUUGUUGAACUGCACGUGUGUGGUGUGUCUUGCCUUGUGUGUCAUUGUGGGUUUAUGCAUUAAGACAAUUCAAAGUGCAUGGCAAUAUGUUUCUGAAUCUAUGAAUGUGAUUUGUUAUGUUUAUGCAUAAGCUUCUUGCUGUCUGUCUGGCUGCAGAGCUCGCCGUCCCCAUUUUUUGGAGAGAUGAGUUGAGCAUUUCCUUCUGCACAG
rnacentral:rRNA from 1 species